AGCAGCCGCGGUAAUUCCAGCUCCAAUAGCGUAUAUUAAAGUUGUUGCAGUUAAAAAGCUCGUAGUUGAAUUUCGGGAUCAAUAUGUUGGUCGUGCCUCGGUACGUACUAGCAUAUUGGUUUCUCCUUUCUGAAGAACCAUGAUGUCAUUUAUUUGGUGUCGUGGGGAAUCAGGACUGUUACUUUGAAAAAUUAGAGUGUUUAAAGCAGGCUCACGCUUGAAUACAUUAGCAUGGAAUAAUGAAAUAGGACGUUUGAUUCUAUUUUGUUGGUUUCUAGGAUCGACGUAAUGAUUAAUAGGGAUAGUUGGGGGCAUUAGUAUUCAAUUGUCAGAGGUGAAAUUCUUGGAUUUAUUGAAGACUAACUACUGCGAAAGCAUUUGCCAAGGAUGU
rnacentral:rRNA from 1 species